CAACUCCUUUUCUCUGACUCACACAGAGGCAGCUUCCAGCCUUCCACAGUUCUUCCAAUUCGACACAGUUAUUUAUUUAUUUUUUUAAGGUCCAAACUCCUGUGCAGAGCAAGCAUCCAAAUGCUGUCAUCCUCUCAGCCCCAUGCUCUAGCUCAUUUUUCACACCACUGGAUUUAAUUUACUAUUAUCGUGCCUGGAAUGUGUUUGCAUCUGUAUUCUUGAGAGAUUGCUAUACAGCUCAUUUGAGGCCUCACAAGAUUAAAACUUGGUAAGAAAGUAGACACGGAAGUGUGUCUCUGUCCAGUUCCACCUAAACUGUGCUGGCAGAAACUUUGGCUCCUGCUGCUUAGCUCCUUCAGCGACCUGCGAGUCUGUCUCACGAAAAGAUACCGACCGCCAUCUUGAAUUUCUAAGCACUAAACACGAAGAGAUGUGAGUUUCUCAAA
rnacentral:lncRNA from 1 species